rnacentral:rRNA from 1 species
CCCCUAGAUGUUCUGGGCCGCGCGCGCGCUACACUGAACAGUUCAACAAGUCUUAACCUUGGCCGAUAGGUCUGGGUAAUCUUUGAACGCUGUUCGUGAUUGGGAUAGACCUUUGCAAUUAUGGGUCUUCAACGAGGAAUUCCUAGUAAACGCAAGUCAUCAGCUUGCAUUGAUUACGUCCCUGCCCUUUGUACACACCGCCCGUCGCACCUACCGAUUGAAUGGUCCGGUGAAAUCUCGGGACGGCGGCUUGGUCGCUUGCGUCCGACUGCUGAAACUUGAUUAAACCAUAUCAUUUAGAGGAAGGUGAAGUCGUAACA